UCGAACUCACAGACCGCGAGAUCAUGACCUGAGCCGAAGUCAGACGCUCAACCGACUGAGCCACCCAGGCGCCCCUCAUGGCUGUAUUUCUUAUAUCUCAGUCCCUCGGCCUGGUUCCUGGCUUGUAAGAUCCAGACAAUAACAGGUUGGUUAUAGAGGUUUCAAGAGUUCAUACGCGUAAAAUGUUUAGAACAGGGUCUGGCACAUGGUAAGUGCUAAUUAAAUGUCAGCUCUUAUUAUUUCCAGUGUUUUGCUUUUGCAACAUGUCUAACUAUAUCUUUGCACACAUCUGUGAUUACUUCCCAGGGAUAAAUUUCUAGGUGUGGACUAGCUGGGUGGGAUCACUAACAUAUUUAUAAGAUUCGAGAUACAUAAUGCAAAACUCCUCUAUAAAGAUUCAGAUUCAAUAAUUAUUCUAUGACUGGGUUUACAAUGGUUAGCAGACAGACAAAAUUCCCUGCCCUCAUGGGGUUUAACAUUAAAAAAGGUAGAUAAUAAGCAAAAUAAAGAAGUGAUCUAUUUGCAAGUGACAAGUACUAUGGAGAAAAAUUAAGCAGGUUAGGAGUUGCAAUUCUAAAAGGGGUGGUCAGGGAAGCUCCCUGAAAAGAUGACACUGGAGCAGAGACUUAAAGGAAAUACACAAAUAUGAGGACAUCUGGGACAGGAGUGUUCCAAACAGAGGGCAUAGCAAGUUCAAAGGGCCUGGGGCAGGAAGGUGCCAGGAAGUGCAUUAGGGGGACCUGGGAGGAGACAGGACAGGGCUGUAAGCAGGCAGGGACAUGUCUCAGAGGGCUGGGCAGGCUGAACCCAACUCCGCUUUGGGAGCAGUUUUACUUUUAUGCAACUACACGUCUAAGAAGGGUGAGGAAGGUGUUCCAGGAGACACAACAAACUGAAAUGAGGUUUUCCUUGUUUCAGGCUAUACUUUAGAGCACUAAAGGGAAGUGAUAAUUCUCACUGUUCCCCCAUGAAAAUCAGAGGUUCCUUGUUUUCCAAAUAAAACAUGUGACUGUCUCAGAUACUCCAGUCCAGUGCCUUUUUCCUAGAACAGUGAGAACCAAGAGUAAAAUGAAGAGACACAAGCUUGUUUUGUUUGUUCCUGGGCUGAGUUCCCGGACCGCCCGUUUGCCAGGUGUGUGAUUUUGAAACAGUAUUUCCCAGGGGAACACGGGCCCCUGGACCCCAGGCCUCACCCCCCACCCCGUUUUCCCUGCACCCCACAAAACACCAGCCCCAGACACACAUGCACAAAGCGGAAAGGCCAGGUCGGAGGCUACAGUUCAGGGCAAAGAAGUAGCAGACCACAAGUUCAUCAUGGAGACCACCAUGGCUGAAAUAGUGACCUUGACUUUCCACCCAGUUCUUUGAACUGCAGAGCCCCUGCUUUGAAUAAACUAGAAAAUCCCAGGGGCUGAGCUGAAACGGUUACAAAUGGGGGAAGACGAAUCUUGGUAUGGAGCUGAGGCUCGGUGGCGGUGCCUGUUGCCAUAGAGGGUCAAAGAUGAACCCUGGCAGGCUGUUCGCUUGUCCUGUUUAGGCUUCAUCUACACCUUUACUGGUGCUCCCCUUUGUGACUUGGCUUGUCGACGAUAUGUCACUGAUCACCUCCCGCGGACAGGCACAGGGCUGGGUGCCAUAGGAGGGCUGUGAAGAAUUGUAUCCGCAGGAGCUGCCAGUUCCCGCUGGGGGAGGGAGGGACGCUCUGCUCCGCUAGAUACUUGGCUCAGUGCCCCACGUGCCUUCCCUUCUCCAAGUUAACACGAAUCAGGUUGUUCUUUUGCUCUGCCUUUCUUUCCCUCCUUCCUUUUGCUUUCUUUUUCCCCCCAUUCUCUCCUUUCCUUCCCUCCCUCAUCCAAAUAAACAGAGAAAACUUGCUGCUUUUCCUCUCCCGAGUUGCUCACUGUUAACAAUUUAGUGUUUACUUUCCAGAUUUUUUUUUCAUGCACACCCGCAUUUUGGUAUGUCAUUCUCGUAUGGAAAGGGACUGUAAACUCCUCCUGUCUAAUUGACCUGUUGUGUUCCCAGCUCCUGGCACAUGGUAAACAAUGAAAAUAUUUGUGGAACAAAUGAGUUUUGAAUUUCUGAAAUCUGUCUCUCUCACUCAAAUAUACACCACGGACAUCCUUCCACGUCAUCUAGUUCAUUCCUUUUAUGGCUGCGUACUGUCCUACAGAAUGUCUGAGCUGUUGUUUAACCAGAAACCUGUUGCCAGACAUCUGGCUGUCUCUCUGUUUUGUUUGAAGUCCUUGCUCCUCUGCCUUCACGCACUCCUGUGGAAGGUUCUGCAGACAACUGUGGCCGACAGAAUAAUAGCCUCCCAAAUAUGCCCACGCCCUGAUCCUCAGAACCUGGGAAUCUGUUUUGUUACGUGGCGAAGGACUUGCAGGUGUGAUGAGUGAAGACUCCUAGGACGGGGCGCCUCUCCUGGAUUAGCAGGCAUUGUCUCUUUUAACCCUGUAAGGAUCCAGCGAAGUAGUUCCUGAGGAAAAUUGUGUGCAGAGAAAUGAAGCAGCUUGCUUAAUGUCACAGGCUCCAAACUGGGCUCCAGCGGCCCUGAAGGGUCUUGCCCCCAACCUUAACCCUAGACCUGAGCACCUCUUCCCGGUCCCCACAGUGAGAAGGAAGAGGAAAAUGGUCCUUGCUCAUUGCACUUUCUGCGACACCAGAAGAAGUGACUCAAACGUGUUCAACUGCUCAGAUGCCUCUUCCUCCAGGAAGCCCUUGCUGACCCCUCCAGGGCCCCACCCUACUGCGUGGUAACUUCAAUUACACAUUUUACCAGCCUGCCCAGUACCUAGAUUAUGGAACUCUGAGCUGGUUUCCUCCUUUAGUGCAUAAACCUUAGCAAGGUCAAUCAAUGCCCUCAUCAACUCUGGUUCUCCAGUGCACCCCACAACACGAGGUUUGGCACCAAAGAGGCACUCAACCAAUCCUUUAACAGAAGAAAAAGGAUCCACUCUUCUCUCCCUGAGGCCCUGUAACUCAUGACUAGUGCGUGGGGAGUGGGGGACGGUCCCUGCCUCACCUUCCCCUGCUAGGAGAGCAAGCUUCCGUGGCCCCAGGCCCGUCUGCACCUCCAACCCCACCUGCUAGUUCUUUAUACUCGCUCCAGUCAUGGUCACGAGGGGCCCGGAGAGGAAUGGUGACUCAGCCCAAUUCAUCACCACAAUGGAAAAACCCAGUCACCUGUCCUCCUGGCAACGGGACCCGAGCUUCCUCUGCAUCUGGAAGGGCAGAAAGCCAUACUGUUUUCAAGGUCCUUUUGUCUUUCACCUGCUAAAAAAUCAAAGACUGGAAUAUGCAGGAGCACCACCCGUCGACACUGUAGACUUGCAGCUGGCUGGGAAUCUCAGUGACCAGGGGUGGUGCGUUCCACACCAGGCUCCAAGGUCAGUGCCCUUGUGUGCAUCUCAGAGCAACUUCACGAGCCCACUGUUGUGGGCACUGCCACCGUUUUGACCACCAGCAUCUGAGUCACCCUUCCUACGAGACAGAGCCCACCUCCUCCUAGAGGAACUGAACACAUCUUUUCCCAGCCUCCCUUGCAGCUUUGGCAGAGUACCCGACCCGGGCACCUCCAAUCAGACACGCCCGUUCUUGACUGUGAAUGAGAAACUAGUGGCACGAGGGAGGGAGCCAAGGGCACACAGAGUCCAUCCUGGCAAGGACUCGGCAGCAGCAGCAGCAACUCAGACUUCAGAGACUUCAGCCGUGGUCCCGAUGCAUGGCAGUGUCCCGUGUCCUUGCCCCUGGCGCCGGCUACAGCGUCCGUGGUGGUUUUGACACCAGACCAGCGCUGCAGUGUUGGGCCCGGAUCCUGAGACCCAGAGAGCUGCCCGCCCUCCUUGUAACAAAGCCCUUUUUUGCUUAA